GUGAGAUUUAUUUUUGUCAUCUGUACUUGUUUUCUGAGACAAACCUCACUGAAAAUAUCUAACAUACUUCAACUUUGUUAUUAGAUGCAUUGCUCCUUUUUGACAAACCUUUAUAUAAACUUUCUGCUUAAGUUUUUCCUUUCUGUUCUUUUCUAUCAUUCUGAUCCUGUUUUUAUUAUAUUUUGCUUGUCUUUGUAUCUACUCCUAAAGUAAACAAUUUAGAUGCCAAGGAAGCUAUUUUCCAGCAUGUUAUAAUUUCAUAUUGAUUCAAACUUUCCAACCCUUCGCAGAUAAUAUGCAGAUUGGCAUUGGUGAUGUUAGAUAGUUAUGACAUAUCAUUUCUCAAAUUGUAACUAU
rnacentral:misc_RNA from 1 species